rnacentral:rRNA from 1 species
AUGCUGGUGUAAAGACGCCAGUAGGUGGAUUGCUAGGCUUGAGAAGAGAUGAAGGACGUGGCAAGCUGCGAUAAGCCCGGGGUAGACGCAUGUGAUCAUUGAUCCCGGGAUGUCCGAAUGAGAAUCUUGUGUUUACACACUCCGUUGCAAAGGCAGCGGAGG